GCUCUGACUUUUCUGCCUCUGUUUGCCCUAUCUCAGUUUUUUCCUCUGAGCUCUCUGAGGCCUCUGCCUCAAAAACUGCAUCUUGAUCUUUUUCAUCAGACAACUCAAUAUCUGAGUUUUCAUGAACAAUUCGCAGUAACAUUCUCUCUACCUCUGACAGUGAAUACCUUCCUUCGUAAUUGAAAAUACAGAGAAAAAAAGAUUCUUCCAGUGAUCCCUACAGUACUGACUAGAUUCUCUUCAGCCAUGCCAUCCUAUAGCAUGUGUCCCUGGGUCCUGCUGUUAUCUGUGCUUAAGGUCAUAACCGUGCCUGUAUUGACCUAUUCAGUAAAGGUGAAUCUUCAUGACAAUGCUACUCUCCCCUGCACUCGGACGUGUUCUGGUCUGGUCACAUGGACUGUGUCCCAUAAACAACAUGACAUUCUGGCUCAGUGUGACCGGAUAUCCUGUCAGUCAAAG
ensembl:lncRNA